rnacentral:rRNA from 1 species
UACGUAGGGUGCAAGCGUUGUCCGGAAUUAUUGGGCGUAAAGAGCUCGUAGGCGGUUUGUCACGUCGGAUGUGAAACCCUGAGGCUCAACCUCAGGCCUGCAUUCGAUACGGGCAGACUAGAAUUCGGCAGGGGAGACUGGAAUUCCUGGUGUAGCGGUGAAAUGCGCAGAUAUCAGGAGGAACACCGGUGGCGAAGGCGGCAUCCUGGACCGGCAUUGACGCUGAGGCGCGAAAGCCAGGGGAGCAAACGGG